rnacentral:rRNA from 1 species
AGGACGAACGCUGGCGGCGUGGUUAACACAUGCAAGUGGUGCGACGAACCAGGGCUUGCCCUGGGGCAAAGCCGCGAACGGGUGAGUAACACGUGGGUAACCUGCCCCGAUGACUGGGACAACCCGAGGAAACUCGGGCUAAUACCGGAUGUGGCGCCUUGGCACAAGCCUUGGCGCUAAAGGAAGCUUCGGCCUCCGCAUUGGGAGGGGCCCGCGGCCCAUUAGCUUGUUGGUGGGGUAACGGCCUACCAAGGCAACGAUGGGUAGCUGGUCUGAGAGGACGAUCAGCCACACUGGGACUGAGACACGGCCCAGACUCCUACGGGAGGCAGCAGUGGGGAAUCUUGCGCAAUGCGCGAAAGCGUGACGCAGCAACGCCGCGUGGGGGAAGAAUGCCUUCGGGUUGUAAACCCCUUUCAGGAGGGACGAAGGUUCGCCGGUGAACAGCCGUGCGGAUUGACGGUACCUCCACAAGAAGCUCCGGCUAACUACGUGCCAGCAGCCGCGGUAAUACGUAGGGAGCAAGCGUUGUCCGGAAUCAUUGGGCGUAAAGCGCGCGUAGGCGGCCCUGUAAGUCCGCUGUGAAAGUCAAAGGCUCAACCUUUGAAAGCCGGUGGAUACUGUGGGGCUAGAGUACGGAAGAGGCGAGUGGAAUUCCUGGUGUAGCGGUGGAAUGCGCAGAUAUCAGGAGGAACACCAAUAGCGAAGGCAGCUCGCUGGGACGUCACUGACGCUGAGGCGCGAAAGCGUGGGGAGCGAACAGGAUUAGAUACCCUGGUAGUCCACGCCGUAAACGAUGGGCACUAGGUGUGGGAGGUGUCGACUCCUCCCGUGCCGUCGCUAACGCACUAAGUGCCCCGCCUGGGGAGUACGGCCGCAAGGCUAAA